AGUGAACGCUGGCGGUAGGCCUAACACAUGCAAGUCGAACGGCAGCACAGUAAGAGCUUGCUCUUACGGGUGGCGAGUGGCGGACGGGUGAGGAAUACAUCGGAAUCUACUUUUUCGUGGGGGAUAACGUAGGGAAACUUACGCUAAUACCGCAUACGACCUACGGGUGAAAGCAGGGGAUCUUCGGACCUUGCGCGAUUGAAUGAGCCGCUGUCGGAUUAGCUAGUUGGGGGGGUAAAGGCCCACCAAGGCGAGGAUCCGUAGCUGGUCUGAGAGGAUGGUCAGCCACACUGGAACUGGGACACGGUCCAGACUCCUGCGGGAGGCAGCAGUGGGGAAUAUUGGGCAAUGGGCGCAAGCCUGAUCCAGCCAUACCGCGUGGGUGAAGAAGGCCUUCGGGUUGUAAAGCCCUUUUGUUGGGAAAGAAAAGCAGCAGGUUAAUACCCCGCUGUUCUGACGGUACCCAAAGAAUAAGCACCGGCUAACUUCGUG
rnacentral:rRNA from 1 species